rnacentral:rRNA from 1 species
AUUGAACGMUGSCGGCAGGCCUAACACAUGCAAGUCGAACGGUAACAGGAAGAAGCUUGCUUCUUUGCUGACGAGUGGCGGACGGGUGAGUAAUGUCUGGGAAACUGCCUGAUGGAGGGGGAUAACUACUGGAAACGGUAGCUAAUACCGCAUAACGUCGCAAGACCAAAGAGGGGGACCUUCGGGCCUCUUGCCAUCGGAUGUGCCCAGAUGGGAUUAGCUAGUAGGUGGGGUAACGGCUCACCUAGGCGACGAUCCCUAGCUGGUCUGAGAGGAUGACCAGCCACACUGGAACUGAGACACGGUCCAGACUCCUACGGGAGGCAGCAGUGGGGAAUAUUGCACAAUGGGCGCAAGCCUGAUGCAGCCAUGCCGCGUGUAUGAAGAAGGCCUUCGGGUUGUAAAGUACUUUCAGCGGGGAGGAAGGGAGUAAAGUUAAUACCUUUGCUCAUUGACGUUACCCGCAGAAGAAGCACCGGCUAACUCCGUGCCAGCAGCCGCGGCAAUACGGAGGGUGCAAGCGUUAAUCGGAAUUACUGGGCGUAAAGCGCACGCAGGCGGUUUGUUAAGUCAGAUGUGAAAUCCCCGGGCUCAACCUGGGAACUGCAUCUGAUACUGGCAAGCUUGAGUCUCGUAGAGGGGGGUAGAAUUCCAGGUGUAGCGGUGAAAUGCGUAGAGAUCUGGAGGAAUACCGGUGGCGAAGGCGGCCCCCUGGACGAAGACUGACGCUCAGGUGCGAAAGCGUGGGGAGCAAACAGGAUUAGAUACCCUGGUAGUCCACGCCGUAAACGAUGUCGACUUGGAGGUUGUGCCCUUGAGGCGUGGCUUCCGGAGCUAACGCGUUAAGUCGACCGCCUGGGGAGUACGGCCGCAAGGUUAAAACUCAAAUGAAUUGACGGGGGCCCGCACAAGCGGUGGAGCAUGUGGUUUAAUUCGAUGCAACGCGAAGAACCUUACCUGGUCUUGACAUCCACAGAACUUUCCAGAGAUGGAUUGGUGCCUUCGGGAACUGUGAGACAGGUGCUGCAUGGCUGUCGUCAGCUCGUGUUGUGAAAUGUUGGGUUAAGUCCCGCAACGAGCGCAACCCUUAUCCUUUGUUGCCAGCGGUCCGGCCGGGAACUCAAAGGAGACUGCCAGUGAUAAACUGGAGGAAGGUGGGGAUGACGUCAAGUCAUCAUGGCCCUUACGACCAGGGCUACACACGUGCUACAAUGGCGCAUACAAAGAGAAGCGACCUCGCGAGAGCAAGCGGACCUCAUAAAGUGCGUCGUAGUCCGGAUUGGAGUCUGCAACUCGACUCCAUGAAGUCGGAAUCGCUAGUAAUCGUGGAUCAGAAUGCCACGGUGAAUACGUUCCCGGGUCUUGUACACACCGCCCGUCACACCAUGGGAGUGGGUUGCA